rnacentral:lncRNA from 1 species
AUAAUAUGAUGAACGUUUCUUGGAAAUGAGUAAAUAUUUAACGCUUCAGUUUUUAUCUUAACUAUGACGCGCAUCGCCCCAUUUAAAAAAAAAAAUCAAAAGUAGUUGUCUAAAAAGCAGUUUAAUUUUUUUUGAUAUCAUUGUUUUAAAAACAACAAUUCAUAUCAUUUUAGGUACAAAAACCAGACUAGAAUGAGAUCUAUUGUAUGUUUCAUUUUUGUAUCUAUUUUUUUGGUUGCUUUAAUGCCUUCCGAUACUCAAGCUGGAACUCUAUUAGGUUGCUGGGAAACUUGGAGUCGAUGCACGAAAUGGAGUCAGCGUGGAACAGGUAUUUUGUGGAAAAACUGCAAUAACCGUUGUAAAGAGUUAGGACAUGGUUAUGGCGUGUGUGAAAAAAGGAAAUCAAAAUGUCGUUUUUCUAAAAAUGCAUGGGCUUGCAUCUGUUACUAAAUUCUAUUAACCACAUCAAAAAUUUGAAUAUAACGUAAUAUUUUUAUCAAAACGUAAUUUUAGUAUAGAAAUAUUUUUUCAUGAUCUUUAUAAAAAAUUACUCAUCUGUAAAAUUGUAAUUGAAUUCUUAAGUUUUAUAAUUGACGCAAA